UACGUAGGGGGCAAGCGUUGUCCGGAUUUAUUGGGCGUAAAGAGCGUGUAGGCGGCCUGCAAGGUCAGCUGUGAAAACUCGAGGCUCAACCUCGAGACGUCGGUUGAAACCAUCUGGCUAGAGCCCGGAAGAGGAGUGUGGAAUUCCCGGUGUAGCGGUGAAAUGCGCAGAUAUCGGGAAGAACACCCGUGGCGAAGGCGGCACUCUGGGACGGUACUGACGCUGAGACGCGAAAGCGUGGGGAGCGAUCCGG
rnacentral:rRNA from 1 species